AGCGGCGGACGGGUGAGUAACGCGUGGGUAACCUGCCUCAUACAGGGGGAUAACAGUUGGAAACGGCUGCUAAUACCGCAUAAGCGCACAGUACUGCAUGGUACCGUGUGAAAAACUCCGGUGGUAUGAGAUGGACCCGCGUCUGAUUAGCUAGUUGGUGGGGUAACGGCCUACCAAGGCGACGAUCAGUAGCCGACCUGAGAGGGUGACCGGCCACAUUGGGACUGAGACACGGCCCAAACUCCUACGGGAGGCAGCAUG
rnacentral:rRNA from 1 species